CUGCGAAUGGCUCAUUAAAUCAGUUAUCGUUUAUUUGAUAGUACCUUACUACAUGGAUACCCGUGGUAAUUCUAGAGCUAAUACAUGCUUAAAACCCCGACUUCGGGAGGGGUGUGUUUAUUAGAUAAAAAACCAAUGCCCUUCGGGGCUGCUUGGUGAUUCAUAAUAACCAAACGAAUCGCAUGGCCUUGAGCCGGCGAUGGUUCAUUCAAAUUUCUGCCCUAUCAACUUUCGAUGGUAGGGUCUUGGCCUACCAUGGUAUCAACGGGUAACGGGGAAUUAGGGUUCGAUUCCGGAGAGGGAGCCUGAGAAACGGCUACCACAUCCAAGGAAGGCAGCAGGCGCGCAAAUUACCCAAUCCCGACGCGGGGAGGUAGUGACAAUAAAUACUGAUACAGGGCUCUUUUGGGUCUUGUAAUUGGAAUGAGUACAAUUUAAACCCCUUAACGAGGAACAAUUGGAGGGCAAGUCUGGUGCCAGCAGCCGCGGUAAUUCCAGCUCCAAUAGCGUAUAUUAAAGUUGUUGCAGUUAAAAAGCUCGUAGUUGAACCUUGGGCCAGGCUGGCCGGUCCGCCUAACCGCGUGUACU
rnacentral:rRNA from 1 species